CGGGUAGCCGGCCUGAGAGGGCGACCGGCCACACUGGGACUGAGACACGGCCCAGACUCCUACGGGAGGCAGCAGUGGGGAAUAUUGCACAAUGGGCGAAAGCCUGAUGCAGCGACGCCGCGUGAGGGAUGACGGCCUUCGGGUUGUAAACCUCUUUCAGCAGGGAAGAAGGCUUCGGUUGACGGUACCUGCAGAAGAAGCGCCGGCUAACUACGUGCCAGCAGCCGCGGUAAUACGUAGGGCGCAAGCGUUGUCCGGAAUUAUUGGGCGUAAAGAGCUCGUAGGCGGUCUGUCGCGUCUGGUGUGAAAUCCCGAGGCUCAACCUCGGGCUUGCAUCGGGUACGGGCAGACUAGAGUGCGGUAGGGGAGACUGGAAUUCCUGGUGUAGCGGUGGAAUGCGCAGAUAUCAGGAGGAACACCGAUGGCGAAGGCAGGUCUCUGGGCCGCAACUGACGCUGAGGAGCGAAAGCAUGGGGAGCGAACAGGAUUAGAUACCCUGGUAGUCCAUGCCGUAAACGUUGGGCACUAGGUGUGGGGCUCAUUCCACGAGUUCCGCGCCGCAGCUAACGCAUUAAGUGCCCCGCCUGGGGGAGUACGGA
rnacentral:rRNA from 1 species